rnacentral:lncRNA from 1 species
AUCAUCAAACUCUUUCAAUUUUCAAGAUGUUUGUUUUUUGUUUAUUGGAUUGUGGAUAGAUAUGAGCAUAGAUUAGUUUAUUUGAAAUUUUGGGAUACCCAGAUUUAAUAUCGACGGAUCUGUGAAACAACUAUCCAGAUCCAGAUCGACCCAAUAUUUGCGAUUAUCUAGAUCCACAAAUAAAUAGAUCAAAAAAAUAAUGAUAACAAUUAUCAUUCAUAUUAAAUAUCUAAAUAUCCGAAUUGGAUCCGCAAACUCUAGAAACCUAUUUUUGGAAUCGGAUCGGAUCUUGGAUCCAUGAUAUUUUGCAUGUCCCUUAUUGUGGAAUGUUGAUGAUCUUGCAAAGCUCAUUAUUUUUGUCAAUUUUAUUUCAUCGUUGGUUUGAAGCAAAAAAAAAAUCGAUUUUGCUUGAUUUAUGAUGUCCUUGAUUUAUAGUUUUUUUAAAAAAAAAGAAAAUUGUGUAUAAAUAUUUUCGUCGAGCAAUAUAUCUGACAUUAAAAAAAUUGUAUAUGAUAUCUACUAUUUUAUUUUAUACAUGAAAUAGCUAAACUUUUCGCAUUAACAUAAGAAAAUUAAAUAUAUAGGAACCAAGCUAUAUUUUUACCGAAAGAGUUUCACUAAUUUUUAAAUUUGUUCUUUGCAAGUGGGUGAGCUUUGUCUUAUUUAUUCCGUCAAUGUCGUUCCCGGAGAAGAAGAGGAAGACGGCCACAAAGAAGCCGUUACUUAAGCCCUCGCUCACGUUGCAAUCAACCCCAAAUCCUCCACUUCCCCUUCCCGAUGAUUUGCUAUUGAGCUGCUUCGCCCGCGUCUCAAGAUUGUACUACCCAACUCUCUCCCUCGUCUCUAAAAGCUUACGAUCUCUCAUUACUUCACCAGAACUUUACAAGACUCGAUCAGUCCUUAACCGUACUGAGAGUUGUCUCUAUGUCUGCUUAAAGCUCCCAUCUGAUGAUAACCCUCGCUGGUUCACUCUCUGUCGGAAGCCAAAUCAGUCAAGAAAGAAAAAGAAGAAGACAAGUGGUAAUAUUUUGGUUCCAGUCCUAUUUCCCCAAUCUUCUCCUCCUACGCACGCGGCGAGUUUCGUCGCUGUUGGUUCUGAUAUCUACGAAAUUGGUGGUCUCAUCAACGACGUACCUUCCUCUAACGUCUCGGUCUUGGAUUGUCAUUCUCUUUCAAGAAACCAAGCUCCAAACAUGUCGAUGGCCAUGGAAAAUCCCGCAGCCUAUGCUAUUGAUGGAAAGUUAUGUGUUGUGGAAGGCUCCAACUAUAAAGAUUUUUUCGAUCCGGAAACCCAAACUUGGAAGCCUGAGAACCGACCUCCUUUUUCUUUAGCCCCGCCAGAGGAAUAUUUACGUGAAUAUCGAGGACGAAAUCUAUGGAUUCGUCGGCAUGGGACAUCGUUUUGUGGUUGCAUGAUAGAUAACGUGUAUUGGUGUUAUAAAGACGGACAGUUCGAAUGGUAUGACGCUUUUAAAAGUGAAUGUAGAAUCUUGAAGGGUAUGGAAGGACAACUGCCUAAGUUGACUAGAUCUUGUGAUGUUCAAUUGGCGGAUUAUGGUGGAAAGAUGGCGGUUUUAUGGCACAAGCAUGAUCGUUCUAGCAAUGAUAAGGGAAGGGUUAUAUGGUGUGCAGAGAUUGCGCUUGAAAGGCGUAGUAGUGAAGAAAUUUGGGGGAAGGUCGAGUGGUUUGAUCAUGUGCUUAAAGUCCCCAAGUUGUUUAGGUUCGUGUGUGUUCUUGAUCCUACUCUUUGAUGAAUGGCAACUGAAACAUGUGUUGGAAUCAAUCACUCAUCGGUAAAGUAUCAUUAUGUUUUCAAUGUGAUGUAUGAAUUGUCUCGUGUUUAGCUUGGUUUUAUAUUUGUAAACUUGUAGUCGCAUUUUGAACUUUAUUGACAUUUUUAAUGCUUAGCUUUAUGUUGUGACAAGCUUUAUGUUGUGUCAAGUGACUACUAAGCUUAUGCACUUAUACAUAUUUGAAGAGUUCAUGAAUAUUGUUUCGUCAUCUAUUAAACAAACAAGUAAGACCUCUUGAUGAUUUAAUAACAAAAAGGGGGUUUUGUUGUUCUCUGUGAAGACUUGGGGAAUAAGUAGUUUCUUAGUGAUUAGGUGAAAAAAGUUGCAUAGAAACUUGCUUUCUUAAUGAAUAUGUUGCAAAAUAUAUUGGUAUGGUGUCUUGCUUCUUCUCUUUAUCUUAUUAUGUCAUGAUAUGUUACCUUUUUAUUAUAUGGUUUAUAAAAUUAUAUAAAACAAGCAAAAUGUUUUUUUUUUCUUUUAAUAGGGAUAUCUACACUAAGUUCUUUAACCAAGAAAAUGUCUUUACCAACUUGUCGAAAAAACCUUCAAAAUUAUUAAUCGUAUAUUCAUAUAUUUUUAUUGUAGAAAUUUAUAUAGACUUUAACAGAUUUUUACAAUAUUUUUGAUGAACUUUAUUUGGAAUAUUUUACUUUAAACAUCAUUUGGGCGAUUUUUUCAAGUUUUUCUAUAAGAUUUGUUUAAAAUUAUAUCGGUUACUACACUAUUAUUUAUUUUUCCAAGUUUUAAUAAACCAUAUUCUUUACUAAACUUUAAGUCAAUGCUAAAUAUUUGUUUUGAAAUUUUUUUACAUUUAGGAAAUAAAUCUUCUGAAAACCCUAGAGAUUAAAAGCUAUUGCUCAUCUUAUCUCUCCCAAUUUUAAAACAUAACCUUAGUUAAAUCUAUCUGCUCCGCCUCCGAUUCUUUUUUUGCCCUUGCAACAACCAAAGGACAUGACGAUGACGUUCGAGAAAGGUCGUCACUAAUCUCGAGACGAGGUAUUCCGUGCUUUACUCGAAAAAGGUAAUAAUCUCAUAUCAUCAAACUCUUUCAAUUUCUCAAGAUGUUUGUUAUUGUUUAUUGGAUUGUGGAUAGAGAUGUGCAUGGAUUAGUUUCCUUGAAAUUUUGGGAUACCUAGAUCUAAAAUCGCCGGAUCCUUGAAACAACUAUCCAGAUCUGGAUCCACCAAUAUUUGUGAUUAUCUAGAUCCACAAGUAACUAGAUAAAAAAAAAAUUACAACUAUCAUUCGUAUUAAAUAUCUAAAUAUCUGAAUUGGAUCCGUAAACUCCACAAACCUAUUUUUGGAAUCGGAUC